rnacentral:rRNA from 1 species
UACGUAGGGGUGCGAGCGUUGUCCGGAAUUAUUGGGCGUAAAGGGCUCGUAGGCGGUCUGUUGCGUCAGGAGUGAAAACUCGGGGCUUAACCCCGAGCCUGCUUCUGAUACGGGCAGACUAGAGGUAUGCAGGGGAGAACGGAAUUCCUGGUGUAGCGGUGAAAUGCGUAGAUAUCGGGGAGGAACACCAGUGGCGAAGGCGGCUCUCUGGGACGGUACUGACGCUGAGACGCGAAAGCGUGGGGAGCGAACAGG